AGCCAGCACCUCCCAGGGACCCAGCCCUGUGAAAACACUUCAGUCUGGGCCCAGAGCAGGGGUGAAGAGCAAGGGGCUCACUAUGGCUCUUCCUUGUGUGGUCUACGUUAGUAUGAAGUCUGAAUUUAGUGUUGAAGUGCUGACUUAAGCUCACCAAUUUGCCUAGUGUAAGAGAAGAAGGAUAACCAUGUUGGGAUGACAGGGAAUUUGAUGGAAUCAAUUAAGAGUGUCUAUAGAUGGGAAAACCAAAACUCCUUAGUGAUUAGAGGUCAAAGAUGAUCAGUGAAUCACUGUUUCUGGCUGAAUGCGAAUAGAUGACAGUGGGAGCUUUAAGUACACGAUCCAACAAUAUUUUGUACUGCGAAAAGCAAUGUGCUGCUCUGAGUCUUCAACCAACACCCGCUUCAGUCAACACAAAGAGUUGGAAGUCAGCUGCAAAUGAAUAAUAGAACAAUAAGUGAGCUUCAAUGUCAUGGUGUGUCUCCUUCUGGGCUUCCUUCAAUUGCAAGAAAUCAGCCUUGAAGACCACAUAGCGAACUUCUGAUGUGAUCUAAACUUGUCUUUAUUAUUUUUUUAAUCUUUUAAGAGCAUUCAAAAAUA